rnacentral:rRNA from 1 species
GAUGAACGCUGGCGGCGUGCCUAAUACAUGCAAGUCGAGCGAACAGAUGAGGAGCUUGCUCCUCUGACGUUAGCGGCGGACGGGUGAGUAACACGUGGAUAACCUACCUAUAAGACCGGGAUAACUUCGGGAAACCGGAGCUAGUACCGGAUAAUAUAUUGAACCGCAUGGUUCAAUAGUGAAAGACGGUUUUGCUGUCACUUAUAGAUGGAUCCGCGCCGCAUUAGCUAGUUGGUAAGGUAACGGCUUACCAAGGCAACGAUGCGUAGCCGACCUGAGAGGGUGAUCGGCCACACUGGAACUGAGACACGGUCCAGACUCCUACGGGAGGCAGCAGUAGGGAAUCUUCCGCAAUGGGCGAAAGCCUGACGGAGCAACGCCGCGUGAGUGAUGAAGGUCUUCGGAUCGUAAAACUCUGUUAUUAGGGAAGAACAAAUGCGUAAGUAACUAUGCACGUCUUGACGGUACCUAAUCAGAAAGCCACGGCUAACUACGUG